GGGGGGGGGGGGGGUUGUUAUGAUCCAGGUCCAAAAGCAGCUAGCGCCAAAGUUUUGUAACGAUUUUAGUGGGGAAGGAGUGGGGGGGCACAUCUGCGACUAAUGUUUGCACCCAUGGGAGAGAAAGCUAAGCUCCGCCCCUGCCACCAGCACAUUUUAAUCAAAGUCAAGAUAAACAUCACAUCACAAAGCUGCUAAACUCCAGCACUUCUUAAUCAAAUUUAAGAUUACCAUCACAUCCCAAACCUGAUGAACCCAAGCACCCCAUAAUAAAACUUACGAAAACCAUCAAAUCCCAAAGCUGAUAAACUCCAGCACCUGUAAAAACAAAAAUCACAAUAACCAUCACAUCACAAAGUUAAUGUACACCACCUCUAAAUCAAAGUCAAGGCCUUGGGAAUAUCUCAGGUUUGCGUGUUUUGUGUUUGAUUUAAUGGGUGGGUGUGUUUGUUCCAUAGUUGUCCAUGUUUAUGUUUUGCAAAGCACUGACUAUGUGUUUAUGUUUAUAUGUGUGUUUGUUUGUGUGUGUUGCCAGAUGGUGCCAAGUGUAAAUGUGUUGUAGGGAUUUCCCCGGCUGCUUGGCUUGUUUACCGUUAAAUCCUUAUUCAUAAUUUAUAUUUGAAAGUGGGUGCACGGUCACCAUUUCUGCAUGGAUUGAGUCAAUUUGGUUUCUUUUGGGGGUGGGGGGGUUAGGGUGAUUCAACAAGGGGGAUUUCAGAAUUGCACACAGUAUUUAUUGUUCUAGCUUUCUUUCUUUCAGCCUACAUUGGUCCUCACAAUUUCUUUGUUAUUUCCAGCUUGUGGGUUAGGUAAAACUUACAAUUAAAGUGUUAGAGUUUGGGUUUACUUUUAGGUUUAAGCAUUGGGGCUAGCUGAAGUUUGGGCAAGAGGUUAUAGGUUAUAUUUAGGGGUAAGGAUAUGGUUGGGUUUACAGUUGGGUUUAGGGAUAAGGAUAGGGUUUUGUUUUUAGGGCUCUUGUUUUAGGGCAGUUGCUGUAAAAGUCAGCCAAACUUUGGAGAUGAAAGAAAGUUCUGGGUUUAGGCAGCCAAAACAAUUAACGAAAUCAGCAGGUGAGACACUCUGGAUGAACCCAGAUAUGUGUUCUCCCAGUUCAAUGACACCCCUUAGAGUAUUUAUACAUUGGGAAGGGGAAAGAAUGAGAUGUGACUACGCCCAGUUUGGGAAUGAAAAAAAAACAAUUACUGGACCCUGAUGACCCCAAAAUUACUGACCCCCCUCUGUUAUCUCCAGACUAAAUGGUCCCAUUCAAACAAUAAAAAUAGGCUUAAAGGGCAACUCAUACAUUUUAAAUAAAUCACAUAAGAAAAUAGAAAUAUUAUCAACAGGCUUCAGAGAUUGGGAACAGGGAUUUCUGUGUUUCUGGUCCCCUGAAGGACAGAAAAACAAACGUGUGUGUGAGAGAGUGUGUUUGUGUGUGCACGUGUUAUUGUGGGGAUUGAGAGGUGAAGCAAAGCACCUCUGUAAUACAAAGACAAAAAGAAACCCACAUCACACCAUCCUCUCCAUACAAUACUUACCCGU
ensembl:lncRNA